rnacentral:rRNA from 1 species
ACGGGUGAGUAACGCGUGAGCAAUCUGCCCUUCGGAGGGGGACAACAGCUGGAAACGGCUGCUAAUACCGCAUGACACAGGACCCGGGCAUCCGGGACCUGUCAAAGAUUUAUCGCCGAGGGAUGAGCUCGCGUCUGAUUAGCUAGUUGGUAGGGUAACGGCCUACCAAGGCUUCGAUCAGUAGCCGGACUGAGAGGUUGAACGGCCACAUUGGGACUGAGAUACGGCCCAGACUCCUACGGGAGGCAGCAGUGGGGAAUAUUGGGCAAUGGGGGAAACCCUGACCCAGCAACGCCGCGUGAAGGAAGAAGGCUUUCGGGUUGUAAACUUCUUUGACCAGGGACGAAACAAAUGACGGUACCUGGAAAACAAGCCACGGCUAACUACGUGCCAGCAGCCGCGGUAAUACGUAGGUGGCAAGCGUUGUCCGGAUUUACUGGGUGUAAAGGGCGCGUAGGCGGGAUUGCAAGUCAGAUGUGAAAUGCUGGGGCUUAACCCUGGAACUGCAUUUGAAACUGUGAUUCUUGAGUAUCGGAGAGGCAGGCGGAAUUCCUAGU